AUCUUAAGCAGGCUCCACACCCAGCGUGGGCCCGAGGCGGGGUUCCAUCUCAUGACCCUGAGAUCAUGACCCUGAGCAGAAAUCAAAAGCUGGAUGCUUAACUGACUGAGCCACCUAGGAGCCCCUGCUUUGGUACUUUUUAAAUUAAGUUUGACAAAGAACAUCUUCAUAGCCAUCAGACAUUGAACUGUUUUAUGAAUCCUGGUAAAGUGAAUACAAGUCAUUCAAAUACAAUAUUGAAUUCACUGCUUUGCAGAAACUAACCUUCAGUUGUAUUGAGUAAAUUAUAAAUGUUAUACAGGAUGUGGACUUAGAGAUCUAAAUGUACCUAGGCAAUAUAAUGAUGAAAUCAGCGUCUGACUCUUCGAUCAAAUGCUAAGAUCAGUAUUUUCGAUGAGAGAGUAUAACAUCUCUCAAACAAUUCAGAACUCUACUUGUCAUUUUAUUUAAUCAUUUGUAAAUCAUAUAUAUGUUAGUGUAUAUAAAAUGCAAUAAAUAAUCUAUAUUACAUUUUUUGUACAUUAUACAUAUGAAGACUAAGGAAAAAGUUUAGGGCAAAAGUUUCUAAUUGCAGUGUAGUUUAAGGAAAUAUGCUGUGUAUUUAUAUCUUUAGAUAAAUAGUGGCAGAAAAGUAAAAAAGAAAAAUAGGCGAGAGUGUAGACAGACAAAAAAAUGUGUACUCUAGUGUAUAAGAACAUAACAGAGCUAACUGACGAAUGUAAAUUUAAACAGUGAGACAGAGUGGGGUAAAGGAGGCAAUAGCUCUAGUUUGGGAGAAUCAUACAGUUAUUAUCAUUGUAUCCCUGGCUUUAGUGAGCUUAUUGAGAAUGAAUUGGGUAACAAUGCAUACUCUGCCAGCCCUGGGUACAAAUUCUAAUGCUACCAUUUACUAGCUGUGUGAGUUACUCAACCUUUAUGAGACUAAAAUUUCUCAUCAGUUCAACAGACCAGAAAACCUGUUUGUUAAUUAUCUUGAUACAAUCUAAGUAAUGGAUCCUUAAGCCAAGACAGUCUCAAGUUGUAGUGGUAAAUAAGAAAAACUUGUCUUUGUUAUAGUUGCUAGAGCAUUUGUCCUCAGAACUGGACUUCAUGGCAGGAAAAACUGGAGAAAAAUGCAAAAUCAGUCCAGACCCAAAGAACUGUGAGGAUGGUUGACCUUGUUUGUAACUGUCUCUCUCUCCAAAAAAGGGCUAAGAGUACGAUGUCCUUCCGGCUAAAAUAUUUGCAAUUGCAUUACUGUAUAAUUUAACUUCUAUCCAAUUUUAAUAAUGAAGCAGAGGAGAAAAUAUUGCUGCACUAAAUUACCUGCUCCCUACUCAGAUUUGAAUGUUUAAUAACCCAGUCAAUGGCAAAGCAAUUAUAAACGUCUGCAAAUAAAAAUAAUUCCUAUUCCUGGUGUGCAAACAUAUGUAUCUGCCUCCUUUACUAGUUACACAGAAGUCUGAAAAAAGACUUGGGAGCUCUUUGUCACCCCCCAUUGUCCUCACAGUGUACUAAAAUCAGGUAUCCUUAUCUUAUAAUAUGAUUCAUUGCUGUGAAUUUGGGGUUCGGAUAUAGCACCACGGCGGACAGGGGAACAACCCGCGGCGAACGGAGACGGUCCACAGGGCGGCCCCAUGGCUGUGCGCUCUGCGGCGUAGAACCACACCAGGUGCUCACCAGGGCCCCCCGCUUCGUUUAAUGCUCUGCUCCCGAAGUUCCUCGUAAUUCUCUCUUUGUUUUUUGUUUGGCAAAUGAAAUCCUGUGGGACGACGGCGCAUGUGUGUGAGCAGAGGAGAUGCACAUGGCAUUUGCGUCAGCUGUUCCUUGCUGAUCCAUUUGCAUAUGGCACGCCACAUGUCCCCGGAGCACAGAAUCUGGGGGACUCUCCAUGCGUGAGAAUUCUGCAUACAAGGCGAAUAUUCAGAUUUGCAUUUAAAGCUGCUAUUGCUCUCUAUAAAGGUAUCAUUCAUUAAAAAUUGGAAGUGCCAUCCACAAGAAGCUUUUGUAGAUCCAUAGACCUGCUGCCCUCCUUACUUUUACUGCCUUGUGAUCCUCACUCAAAGCCUCAGCAGCCUGCGGCCAGGAAACAGACACA